rnacentral:rRNA from 1 species
GACGAACGCUGGCGGCGUGCUUAACACAUGCAAGUCGAGCGGAAAGGCUCCUUCGGGGGUACUCGAGCGGCGAACGGGUGAGUAACACGUGAGUAAUCUGCCCUGCGCUCUGGGAUAGCCACCGGAAACGGUGAUUAAUACCGGAUAUGACCGCUACACACAUGUGUUGGUGGGGGAAAGUUUUUCGGCGCAGGAUGUGCUCGCGGCCUAUCAGCUUGUUGGUGAGGUAAUGGCUCACCAAGGCUUUGACGGGUAGCCGGCCUGAGAGGGUGACCGGUCACACUGGGACUGAGACACGGCCCAGACUCCUACGGGAGGCAGCAGUGGGGAAUAUUGGACAAUGGGCGGAAGCCUGAUCCAGCAACGCCGCGUGAGGGAUGACGGCCUUCGGGUUGUAAACCUCUUUCAGUACCGACGAAGCGAAAGUGACGGUAGGUACAGAAGAAGGACCGGCCAACUACGUGCCAGCCGCCGCCGUAAGAC